UACGUAGGGGUGCGAGCGUUAAUCGGAAUUACUGGGCGUAAAGGGCGCGUAGGCGGCUUGGCAAGUGGAUGGUGAAAUCCCUCGGCUUAACCGAGGAACUGCCCUCCAAACUGCUUGGCUUGAGACCGGGGAGAGGUGAGUGGAAUUCCAGGUGUAGCGGUGAAAUGCGUAGAUAUCUGGAGGAACACCGGUGGCGAAGGCGGCAUCCUGGACCGGCAUUGACGCUGAGGCGCGAAAGCCAGGGGAGCAAACGGGG
rnacentral:rRNA from 1 species